GUCGAGGAUGUCGGUGAAUUACGCGGCGGGGCUGUCGCCGUACGCGGACAAGGGCAAGUGCGGCCUCCCGGAGAUCUUCGACCCCCCGGAGGAGCUGGAGCGGAAGGUGUGGGAACUGGCGAGGCUGGUCUGGCAGUCUUCCAAUGUGGUGUUCCACACGGGUGCCGGCAUCAGCACUGCCUCUGGCAUUCCCGACUUCAGGUCUGUGAUUGUGCAGGGGAAGUCGAGGCAAGGCCUACCAGGCUGCCAGAGGCUUCCCUGCGAGCCACACACAUCUGGGAAUGAGAACCCAUCCAUCUGCUUUCCUCCUGGAUGUGUCCUGGGUACUCCCUUUAAGAUGUGUCCCUUGGCUGGGCAUGGUGGAUCACAAG
rnacentral:sRNA from 1 species